GGUUAAGCGACUAAGCGUACACGGUGGAUGCCCUGGCAGUCAGAGGCGAUGAAGGGCGUGCUAAUCUGCGAUAAGCGCCGGUAAGGUGAUAUGAACCGUUAUAACCGGCGAUACCCGAAUGGGGAAACCCAGUGUGACUCGUCACACUAUCAUUAACUGAAUCCAUAGGUUAAUGAGGCGAACCGGGGGAACUGAAACAUCUAAGUACCCCGAGGAAAAGAAAUCAACCGAGAUUCCCCCAGUAGCGGCGAGCGAACGGGGAGGAGCCCAGAGCCUGAAUCAGCAUGUGUGUUAGUGGAAGCGUCUGGAAAGGCGCGCGAUACAGGGUGACAGCCCCGUACACAAAAGCGCAUGUGCUGUGAGCUCGAUGAGUAGGGCGGGACACGUGGUAUCCUGUCUGAAUAUGGGGGGACCAUCCUCCAAGGCUAAAUACUCCUGACUGACCGAUAGUGAACCAGUACCGUGAGGGAAAGGCGAAAAGAACCCCGGCGAGGGGAGUGAAAAAGAACCUGAAACCGUGUACGUACAAGCAGUGGGAGCACCCUUUGGGGUGUGACUGCGUACCUUUUGUAUAAUGGGUCAGCGACUUAUAUUCUGUAGCAAGGUUAACCGUAUAGGGGAGCCGUAGGGAAACCGAGUCUUAACCGGGCGUUAAGUUGCAGGGUAUAGACCCGAAACCCGGUGAUCUAGCCAUGGGCAGGUUGAAGGUUGGGUAACACUAACUGGAGGACCGAACCGACUAAUGUUGAAAAAUUAGCGGAUGACCUGUGGCUGGGGGUGAAAGGCCAAUCAAACCGGGAGAUAGCUGGUUCUCCCCGAAAGCUAUUUAGGUAGCGCCUCGUGAAUUCAUCUCCGGGGGUAGAGCACUGUUUCGGCUAGGGGGCCAUCCCGGCUUACCAACCCGAUGCAAACUGCGAAUACCGGAGAAUGUUAUCACGGGAGACACACGGCGGGUGCUAACGUCCGUCGUGAAGAGGGAAACAACCCAGACCGCCAGCUAAGGUCCCAAAGUCAUGGUUAAGUGGGAAACGAUGUGGGAAGGCCCAGACAGCCAGGAUGUUGGCUUAGAAGCAGCCAUCAUUUAAAGAAAGCGUAAUAGCUCACUGGUCGAGUCGGCCUGCGCGGAAGAUGUAACGGGGCUAAACCAUGCACCGAAGCUGCGGCAGCGACGCUGAUGCGUUGUUGGGUAGGGGAGCGUUCUGUAAGCCUGCGAAGGUGGCCUGUGAGGGUUGCUGGAGGUAUCAGAAGUGCGAAUGCUGACAUAAGUAACGAUAAAGCGGGUGAAAAGCCCGCUCGCCGGAAGACCAAGGGUUCCUGUCCAACGUUAAUCGGGGCAGGGUGAGUCGACCCCUAAGGCGAGGCCGAAAGGCGUAGUCGAUGGGAAACGGGUUAAUAUUCCCGUACUUGGUGUUACUGCGAAGGGGGGACGGAGAAGGCUAUGUUGGCCGGGCGACGGUUGUCCCGGUUUAAGCGUGUAGGUGUGUGUUCCAGGUAAAUCCGGUUCACUUUAACACUGAGGCGUGACGACGAGGCACUACGGUGCUGAAGCAACAAAUGCCCUGCUUCCAGGAAAAGCCUCUAAGCAUCAGGUAACAUCAAAUCGUACCCCAAACCGACACAGGUGGUCAGGUAGAGAAUACCAAGGCGCUUGAGAGAACUCGGGUGAAGGAACUAGGCAAAAUGGUGCCGUAACUUCGGGAGAAGGCACGCUGACACGUAGGUGAAGUGAUUUACUCAUGGAGCUGAAGUCAGUCGAAGAUACCAGCUGGCUGCAACUGUUUAUUAAAAACACAGCACUGUGCAAACACGAAAGUGGACGUAUACGGUGUGACGCCUGCCCGGUGCCGGAAGGUUAAUUGAUGGGGUCAGCGCAAGCGAAGCUCCUGAUCGAAGCCCCGGUAAACGGCGGCCGUAACUAUAACGGUCCUAAGGUAGCGAAAUUCCUUGUCGGGUAAGUUCCGACCUGCACGAAUGGCGUAAUGAUGGCCAGGCUGUCUCCACCCGAGACUCAGUGAAAUUGAACUCGCUGUGAAGAUGCAGUGUACCCGCGGCAAGACGGAAAGACCCCGUGAACCUUUACUAUAGCUUGACACUGAACAUUGAGCCUUGAUGUGUAGGAUAGGUGGGAGGCUUUGAAGUGUGGACGCCAGUCUGCAUGGAGCCGACCUUGAAAUACCACCCUUUAAUGUUUGAUGUUCUAACGUGGACCCGUAAUCCGGGUUGCGGACAGUGUCUGGUGGGUAGUUUGACUGGGGCGGUCUCCUCCUAAAGAGUAACGGAGGAGCACGAAGGUUGGCUAAUCCUGGUCGGACAUCAGGAGGUUAGUGCAAUGGCAUAAGCCAGCUUGACUGCGAGCGUGACGGCGCGAGCAGGUGCGAAAGCAGGUCAUAGUGAUCCGGUGGUUCUGAAUGGAAGGGCCAUCGCUCAACGGAUAAAAGGUACUCCGGGGAUAACAGGCUGAUACCGCCCAAGAGUUCAUAUCGACGGCGGUGUUUGGCACCUCGAUGUCGGCUCAUCACAUCCUGGGGCUGAAGUAGGUCCCAAGGGUAUGGCUGUUCGCCAUUUAAAGUGGUACGCGAGCUGGGUUUAGAACGUCGUGAGACAGUUCGGUCCCUAUCUGCCGUGGGCGCUGGAGAACUGAGGGGGGCUGCUCCUAGUACGAGAGGACCGGAGUGGACGCAUCACUGGUGUUCGGGUUGUCAUGCCAAUGGCACUGCCCGGUAGCUAAAUGCGGAAGAGAUAAGUGCUGAAAGCAUCUAAGCACGAAACUUGCCCCGAGAUGAGUUCUCCCUGAGACUUAAAGUCUCCUGAAGGAACGUUGAAGACGACGACGUUGAUAGGCCGGGUGUGUAAGCGCAGCGAUGCGUUGAGCUAACCGGUACUAAUGAACCGUGAGGCUUAACCUU
rnacentral:rRNA from 1 species